CGCGUAGGCGGCCUUCUAAGUCGAACGUGAAAUCCCUGGGCUCAACCCAGGAACUGCGUCCGAGACUGGUGGGCUCGAAUCCGGGAGAGGGAUGUGGAAUUCCAGGUGUAGCGGUGAAAUGCGUAGAUAUCUGGAGGAACACCGGUGGCGAAGGCGACAUCCUGGACCGGUAUUGACGCUGAGGCGCGAAAGCCAGGGGAGCAAACG
rnacentral:rRNA from 1 species